rnacentral:lncRNA from 1 species
GUCACAGAACUAUGACACCUUAAGUACUGCUACUCAAUUAUGGUUCGUUGCUUGAACAACCAUUCCUGGCUCAGAUCAGCACUUAGCCACUACGCACAUCUAAAUUUCUCUUGAUUCAAGAGAGCAUUAAGGAUUUUGAGCAUUAAGAUAGAUAAUGAUACAGAAUUAUAACUCACUGCAUAAAAAAAGAAUCUAUGAGCUCAAGUGGUCAUGAAUAAAUGAGUGAAUAAAUAAUUGGAGGAAAAGGGAAAACUCAGCAAGACACUAUGUAUAUAGCUGGAGUGAUGAAGUUAUAACAUUGAUUAAAGGAAGGUAAAAACUCUUGGGUGAAAACUUAAUGAAGAUAUUUAACAUAGUCUUAAAAAUGUCUGUAAAAAGCAUUAUUAAUUUCAAAGGGGGAAAAUAGCAUUGAUUAUUAUAAAGUUAGUGGAUGCCACUGUAAUCAGCCAAAGUUAAUAUAACUAAAAUACUCAGAUAAAUGUAUAUGUCUUCUGGUAUGUUGCGCCGAGAGUGAUAUAACCUCAGGUAUAUGCAAAAUGCAUAGCUUGACUCUCAUAUGAAAGAGAGAGAGAAUGAGUAAAAUAAAGCAAAUGAGAUAAAUAUUAGCAGUGGCUAAUGUAGAUAAAGAUUCUACAAGAGCUCAUCAUUGUGUUGCGAUGCUUUUGUAAGUGUGAAAUCUUAUGAAAAUAAGAAGUUACAAAAUACAUAUUAGCCUUUGUUUUUAUGGAGUUUAAGUUCCAUAGAGGUAAGACCAAAAAAAAGGAGAAAUAAACAUGUGAAUAAAUUAUACAAUUUUUUUUGGAGUUCCCGUCGUGGCGCAGUGGUUAACGAAUCCGACUAGGAACCAUGAGGGGAACUCCUCAAAUUAAAUCUUAGCUCUUGUAAGUGGUAUUCCUACCAUUCCAUUAAUGAGAUUAUUGCUAAUAAUUUUUUUCCCUUCAUUCUGUUUUCCUCCUGGGGUGGGGCAACUGUGAAAAUUACAGGGGGUGAGGGCUGGUGUUCUUAACAGAUACUGCACUUUAUUUUAGUAAGUUAAAUAAUAUGGAGCUUAAAUUGAGGCUCUAGUGUGUAAAAGAUGAUGACUACAUCAUCUUUUAAAAAGUGAAAAUGUAGUGUAUUACAUUUAUCAAAACCAGUGACUAGGGUGCUUAUUUACUUUAUUUUUACCUAUUCAGCAUCAUGAAAUGGAAAGCUAUGCCAAAUUUA